rnacentral:rRNA from 1 species
GACGAACGCUGGCGGCGUGCCUAAUACAUGCAAGUAGAACGCUGAAGGAGGAGCUUGCUUCUCUGGAUGAGUUGCGAACGGGUGAGUAACGCGUAGGUAACCUGCCUGGUAGCGGGGGAUAACUAUUGGAAACGAUAGCUAAUACCGCAUAAUAGCAGUUGUUGCAUGACAACUGUUUGAAAGGUGCAAUUGCACCACUACCAGAUGGACCUGCGUUGUAUUAGCUAGUUGGUGGGGUAACGGCUCACCAAGGCGACGAUACAUAGCCGACCUGAGAGGGGGAUAGGCCACACUGGGACUGAGACACGGCCCAGACUCCUACGGGAGGCAGCAGUAGGGAAUCUUCGGCAAUGGACGGAAGUCUGACCGAGCAACGCCGCGUGAGUGAAGAAGGUUUUCGGAUCGUAAAGCUCUGUUGUAAGAGAAGAACGAGUGUGAGAGUGGAAAGUUCACACUGUGACGGUAUCUUACCAGAAAGGGACGGCUAACUACGUG